GGUAGUGGCAGAUCAUGGAGCUCAGAUGGUAGGUCUGGAGUAGAGCUAGAGAUGUGGCAGAAGCCAGCAAAGAGACAGUCAUUGAAGCUAUGGGAGUGAGUGAACUGGCUCAGAGCAAGAGCAUAGCAUAAGAAGAGAGGGCGCAGAUGCCUCCUUCGCCGGAGCUUGGAACAAACUCACAGCCAGCUAAGUGAGUUCAAUGGCUGAGGUGAGGUAUCCCAUCCAGGGGCCUCAUAACCCAAUUCAGACUACUCUCUCCUGUU
ensembl:misc_RNA RNaseP_nuc Nuclear RNase P